ensembl:snRNA U6 U6 spliceosomal RNA
GUGCUUACUUCAGCAGCACGGAUGCUAAAAUUGGAAGGAUACAGAGAAGAUUAGCAUGGCCUCUGGGCAAGGAUGACAUACAAAUUCGUGAAGUCCCCCGUAUGUUU